rnacentral:lncRNA from 1 species
AUGCCUGGCAUCCUAGAGAGGAAGAUUACUGGUUUAAGAAUGACUAAUAUUAGCUAGAGAAUGGAGGGAAGGGAUGGAGAUGGAGGAGGAUAUGGGGCAACUGCGAGACAAAGAAGACCAUUAGGAAAAGACAAAGAAUGAAGAAACACUUAUUAUACCAGGAGAAGAACAAAACAACUGCAGAUGAAGCUCUUUGGAUUUGUUCCUGAGGUGAAACUCCUCAAACGCCAUUUCUCUGAAUCGGAGAUGUAGGAGUAACACAGUAGAAACCUCCCAGCAACAGAGGGAAACAGCAAAGCAUGCAGCAAACAAGGUUCAUAGCAACUUUGACAUUGAAUGAGGCACAGAUUACCAGUUUCUUUUACUGUUUUAAUUAACUCUAUUAGGAUAUCAUUUUUGCACAAGAAACAGCAUCCUUUUAAAGUAUACAAUUUCAUAAGUUUUGACAGUUAUAGUCAGUCACUAAAUGGCAGCAACAAUUAAAAGACACAUUUCCUUCAUCCCCAAAGUUCCUGUGCCCCUUAGUCCAUGCAUCCCUCCAACAUCCUCCUCAAGUGAAGGAUGAUCUGUUGUUGCCAUGAUGAAUAGUUCAAAUUUCUAGAAUUCAUAUAAGUGGUAUAAUACAUUGUAUAGACUUCUGGGCCUGGAUACUUUCUAUUAAUUAUUUUAAGUUUUAUCUAUGUUGUAGUGUGAGUCAGUAAUUUGUUUUAUUUUAUUGCUGAUUAGUAUUCAACUGUAUGGAUAUACUACAUUUUGUUUAUCCAUUUCAAAGUCAUUGGCAUCUGACUUAUUUCUAAUUUGGUGAUUUUAUGAAAAAUAGCUACAAAAAUGUGAACACAGGUUUAUGUAUGAACAUUUAUUUUUAUUUCCUUUGGUGACAAACCUAUGACUUGAAUGACUUGGUUAUGUAAUAAGUGUGUAUUUAAAUUUUUUAGAAACUGCCCAAAACUUUCCUAUUCACCAAAAGGUAUGAGAGCACCAGUUGCUCCACGUUUUCUUCACCACCACUUAGUAUGUCAGUAUUUUAUUUUAGCUACUACACAUAGUGGCAUUCCAAUGUGGAAUGAUGUGCAUCCUUUUUAGGUGCUUAUUGGUCAUUCAUACAUCUCUUCUAGUGAAGUGUUUGUCAGAAAAGAUUUUGUCCAUUUUUAUUAGGCUUUUUGCCUUACUAUUGAGUUAUAGAAGCUUGUCUUUUUAUUUUUUUCAUUCAGGACACAAAUUUAUGUAUACAUAUAUUUGUAGCUUUAUUUUUUAUUGUGUCCUGUAAGGAACAAAAGUCAUAAUUUGGAUAAAGUUUGACUUAUCUUUUUGUCUUUUGUAGAUUUUGCUUUUUGUGUCUUAUCAAAGUCUUCGUUUAACCCAAGUUCACAGGUAUUUAUUCCACUAGUUAUAUAAGCUUAGCAUUUACAUUUAAGCCUAUGAAGGUUUGAGAUGAAGUGAUAUAAGGUAAAUUUUUAGUUUCUUUAUGUGACUAUCCAGUUAUUCCAGCACAAUUGGUUGAAAAGACACUCCUUUUCUCAUUGAAAUGCUUUCACAGCUUAAUAGAAAAUAAACUGACCUUAUAUGUAUAGGUCUAUUUUUGGGAACUUUAUUCCAUUUUACUUAUGUAUAUGUGAAUCCUUCACCACACUGUUUUAAUGUAAAAAUGCUUUAUACUUAGAACUAAAACUAGAUCAUAUAAAUUCUUUAAGUUUGCUUUUUCACUUUAAUAUUUUACUGGUGGUUAUGGGCCAUUCACACUUCCACAUAUAUUUGAGAAUCAGCUUGUCAGUUUAAAACAUGAUGUAAUUUUGAUUGGAUUUGUUUUAUCUGUUGAUGAAUUUAGAAUAAAUCAACAUCUUUAAAAUUUUGCAUGUUUCAACUUAUGAAUAUUUUUCUCAAGUCACAUAGGCUUUUUAAUUUUUUUACAAGAAGUUUUGUAGUUUUCAGUGUACAGGUCUUGCACAUAUUUUUAUACAUUAUUUCUAGAUAUUUUAUUCCCAGAGAUGCUAUUAUAAAUGAAAUUGCAUUUUUAUUUCAAUUUGUAUGUUUUUGUUUGAGAUUUUUUUUCUAUUUGAUUUGUCUAAGGUAGUUGAUAUAGUUGAUUUUGUAUAUGGACCUUGUAACCUGGGACCUUGCUAAACUCACUUUUUAGUUCUACUAACUUUUUAACAGAUUUAUUAAAAUGUCCUUUUGAGAAGUGUCUGUUUAUAUCCUUCACCCAAUUUUUGAUGCGGUUGUUUUUUUCUUUUAAAUUUGUUCAAGUUCCUUGUGAAUUCUAGAUAUUAGACCUUUGUCACAUUGAUAGAUUACAAGAAUUUUUUCCCAUUCUGUAGGUUGCCUG